rnacentral:tRNA from 1 species
CGGGCUGUAGCUCAGUUGGUAGAGCGCGCGGUUCGGGACUGCGAGGUCGCAGGUUCAAAUCCUGUCAGCCCGA